GCUGGGAUUACAGGGGUGAGCUACCGUGCCCAGCCUCAAGGACCUUUUUUUAAACUAAUAAAUAUCAACAGAAAGAUAGCAGAGUCAUGAGAGCUGGUUUUGGGGAGACAGAUGAGAUGUGCAAAUGAAUUAAGCAUGAACAAAUACCAGAAAACUACAGUAUAACUGAGCUUGGAAAGAUAAUUUUGAAUUCCUCAUAAUAUGAAAAGAGGUGCUUAAUGACAGGCUAUCUAUUCAACUAGAUUAAAGUUUGUUAAUCAGAUCAAAAUUAAUUAAAGGAUAUCAAGGAAUGAGAGUAGAAUCCCAACACUGAAUUUAUUGGCUAAUGUAUUGACCAUGGCUCUUAAGUUUAAUUGCUCUGUCAGCUUCAUUUUGUGACUUUGGCAUGACUGUCUUAAAGAAGUAGCAGCACUAUUUGACAUCAAGUUCUCUGUGUAGUCCUGAUGUUAUAAGCCCUGAUGCUUUAAGGGACCAUCUCCAGCCUAGUAUAUAAAAUGAAUGUAGCAGUAAGGCUUAAUUUUGAAUGAAAUAUGUCUGUACUUUAUCUCAACUCUUCUUUAAUCUGCUUUAACAUUUUAACGUCCAGCUUUGUCCCUCUACUCUCUCCAAGAAGGCACUGAUUGGCCAUUACAUCGGAGUUAAUUUAUCCAUUAAUUUUUCCACUUGACCGCCUACCCUGGCAUUCUACAUUUCAUCUCAUCUUCUGUAAAAACUGGCAUCUUAAGCACAGACUAAGUACUCUCUCAAGGACUCACCUACAGGCCAUUGCAGCAAGAGAUACUUUAUAUCAUUACAAUGCUGGCUUCAUAAAAACACAUGUGAUUAGAUUACAUUUUUAGAAUAAUAUUUAUUCUUGUUUCAAUGAUAAUAUAAAUUCAUCGUAGAAAAAAGGAAAAUACAGAAAAAUUUAAAACUAUGUAAAAAUUUUCAACACACAGAUAAAUAUGGUUAACAUAUUGUUUUAUAUAAAAUUAUUUUAGACACCAUUAAGUAAUAAUACCUGCAAGUGAUAUUUAAACUACUUUUCUUCAGUUAAAAAUGACAAAUGCCAUUUUUAUGAGUUUUAAGUAUGUAAAUAUGUUACUAUCUAAGUUCCCCAGCAAUUAAAAUAGAGCAUAGUACUCUAUUCAAAUUUUUGUGUAGGGAUAUAAGGACUUGCUUAGUAAUUCCUCUGUCAUAGUAUUUAAUACAUGUAAAUUUGGAGCCAUUAUUAACAAAUAAUGCAGCAAAGCAGCACCAACUAUUAUUUUAAGUAAUCAUCACACAUAGAAAGACCUUUUAUUGAAACUGUCAUUUAAACUUUCAUUUAGAAUAAAAGUUAGAACAAAAAUGUUUUAUCCUCUUCUUCUAAAUAUUUCAUUAACAUGAAAAUAUAAGAUCUAUCUUUCAUCUAUGUAGUAUUGACCAAAAAAAGUCAAACUCUGCAAAAUAUUUGAGGAGAUUCAUUUUGAGCAAAAUGUCAGGACCAUGACCCAUGACACAGCCUCAGGAAGUUCUGAGAUCAUGUGCCCAAGGUAGAUGGGUUACAGCUUGGUUUUAUAUGUUUUAGGGAAAUAUUAGACAUUAAUCAAUACAUAUAAGGCAUACAUUUUUUUUUUUCUGGAAAGGCAAGACAACUUCAAAGCAGGGGCUUAUGGGUCAUAAUUAGAUUCAAAAAUUUUCUCAUUGGCAAUUGGUUGAAAGAGUUAAGUUAUUCUAUAAAGACUUGGAAUCAAUAAAAAGGAGUGUCUGAGUUAACAUAAAUGUUGUGGAGACCAAGGUUCUUAUUACAUAGAUGAAGUCUCAUAGGCAGCCACCCUUUGAAGGAGUAGAUGGCAUAUGUUUUCUAUUCAGACCUUUAAAGGGUGCUAGACCCUCAGAUAAUCUUCUGAGGAUUAGGUAAAGACCUGGAGAGGGAAGAGGAUCCUCUAAAGAAUGUAAAUUUCUCCCACAAGAAAGAGCUUUGCAGGGCCAUUUCAAAAUAUGUCAAAGAAAUAUAUUUUGAGGUAAAAUACUUUUAUACUUUCAGGGCCUGCUCUCUGUCAUGUGAUGCUACACUAGAGUCAGAAUGGAAUUUGGUAUUUUAUUGCUACAAAGAACCUGUUUCAUCAAUUUUAAGGUAUCUGUUUCAAUUUUAAUGAUGGACAGCUGUGAAGACAGAGGUAUAAUAUCGAGAAGUGAGCCCUUGCACUUUACAGAAUCCUUCAAAGACACAGUGUUGAAGGUACCAGGUAGCAGGUUGGAUUGAGGGAUGGAAAUAAAAUGGAAAGAUUGGAUUUCAGUAGAGGACAUGAAACAAAUGGCUUCAUAGUCUCUACAAAUAUUGUUAAACUUUGUGGCACAAUGAUUGCCGACCCCGUAUAUUGGUUCGAGGAGCUAGAUUUCCUUACUGUUAUGCCGUUAAUAGGGUCAAAAGUGUUACAGUUUAAUUUUGGUUUCUGUUUGGGUCUCUCUUUCUGUGCAGAUGUUUCUACACAUUCAACUUGGCUUGGCCUGAGAUACAAAAAUAAAAAGUAAAGUACUGGCAAUUAAGGUCCGUUUGGGGCCAUAUAUUACAUGAGUACUGCACUCAUGUUUUUGUAAUUUAUAAAAAGACUCUUUCAAGUUAAUCUUCUUUCUGAUUCCUUUUACCACUAUUCAAUUUGAACUGGCAUGAAAGGUUUUAUUCUAGUUAAAUGAGCAAAUAAAUAAUCAAAUGUGGCUGGUACCGUAUUUCACACCUGUAAUCCCAGUACUUUGGGAGGCUGAAGUGGGAGAAUCAUUUGAGUCCUAGAGUUUGAGACCAGCUAGGCAACAUAGAGAGACCAUGUCUCUAUAAAAGUAAAAAAAUAGCCGGGCAUGGUGGUGCAUACCUGUGGUCUCAUCUACAACAAAGAUUGAGGCAGGAGGAUCACUUGAGGUGGGAAGUCAGGGCUGCAGUGAGAUAUGAUCAUGCCACUGUACUCCAGCCAGGACAACAGAGUAGGACACUGUCUCAAAAACAAAAAAGUCAAACGUUUCAAAAUUAUUCUUGGAAAGAAAAGUGAACCAAACAAAUAAAAAGGAGCCAGUAUGGACCAUUACACUCUCCCUCUCCUUUCCUAAAGGAGAGGGCUCAUUUGACUAGAAUAAAACCUUUCAUGCCUUUACAAAACAUUAUAUACAAAAUGUUUUGUAUAUAAAUAGAUUUACUGCCUCAUUGGAUUCAAUAUGGCAUGUUAUCAUUUUUAAGUAGCUAAAAUGUCCUACUCCAAUAAAAAUGUCACAUUACAUCAUACAAAUCUAUAGGUUAAAAUGGAAAGCCUCACGUCUUUAUUGUCAUUUUGCUAAAUGUCUUAAGUACUUCCUUUUUUGUAUUUUGAGUAAGUGAAUACUAAAUCAUGAUAGUAGAUUAAAAGUUACUAAAAGUGUAGUCUUUUAUAUUUUUAAUAGAAAUGUAUUGCCAUCUUUCCCUUGCGUUAAAUUGUAUCAUAGAAUCAACCUAAUAUAUUGAGAUGAAAAUAUCAUUCUUUAUUAUUAAUGUCCUAUUAUAAUUGUUCAAUGCAUAAUUAAUGGUUGAGAUCACCAUGUACCUGUGAAUGCAGAAGAAGUGUCAGGCACAUGCCUGACACAGAUUGGGCACUCAAUAAAUAUACGUUGAAAGAAUGGUUACACGUAUAAGGAAAUGAAUAGAUAAAAGAUGUAUCAGACAAAGCAUGUUCUUGACUAACUUCUUGACUUCUUUUUGCUUAAUGUAGUGAUUGCAGUGAUUGACUUGAGAUUCUAGAAGAGUUACUUUAAAACCAGGAAGAACAUACCAUCAUUCAAGAAGACACAUAAGAAUACUUGGAAUGUGCAUGGGAGCAAGUGUAAUUUCAGAAAUAAGUAUUUCAUUUCAGUUUGAUAUUUUAUUUAACAAUUUAAAUAAUAUUAAAAUGAACUUGUAUAUUCCCAAGAAAAAUUAAAACAUGCAUCUACACCAAAACUUUUAUACAAAUGUUCAUAGCAGUAUUAUAAUAUCCAGGAAGUCAGAACAAUUCAAAUAUCUAUCAGCUGAUAAAUGAAUGAACAAGUUGUAGUAUAUUCAUAUAAUGAAAUAUUAUUCCACCAUUAGAAGCAAUGAAAUAGUCAUUCGAGGCCGGGCGCAGUGGCUCAGGCCUGUAAUCCCAGCACUUUGGGAGGCUGAGGCCAGCGGAUCACAAGGUCAGGAGAUGGAGACCAUCCUGGCUAACACCGUGAAACCCCGUCUCUACUAAAAAUACGAAAAAAAAAAAAAUUAGCCGGACGUGGUGGCAGGUGCCUGUAGUCCCAGCUACUUGGGAGGCUGAGGGAGGAGAAUGGUGUGAACCCGGGAGGUGGAGCUUGCAGUGAGCCUAGAUCGUGCCACUGCACUCCAGCCUAGGGGAGAGAGCGAGACUUCACUCAAAAAAAAAAAAAAAAAAGAAAAAAAAGAAAUAGUCAUUCGAGUAACAAUGUGGAUAAACCUUGAAAACAUUAUGCUAAGUGAACGAAGCCAGUCACAAAAAAUAGCAUAUUAUAUGGUUACUUUUAUAUGAAAAGUCCAGAAUGGAAAAAUUUAUCAAGACAGGAUGUAGAGUAAUGUUUCAUCAGGCUGGAAGAGGACUGAGUGGAUUGCAACUGCUAAUGGUGAAGCAGAUACAUUUUUUGGGGUAAAUAUCCAGGGUUUGUCAGUCUCAUGCUAGGAAAAUUCAGAACACCAACACACAUGAGGAGUUUAGGAGUGGAGGUUUAAUAGGCAAAAGAAAGAGAAAGGAAAAUAGCUCUCUCUCUAGUGAGAGAGAGGGGACUUCUGAGAGGAACGACCGGCUGGCAGCGGACGGGCCAGAUUUAAUAGUCAGGCUUGCAGAGGUGGUGUCUCAUUUACAUAGGGCUUAUAGGAUGAUUCGAUCAGGUAUGACAUUUACAUAGCGAAUGGAAAAGGCUAAUCUUAUUAUGCAAACAAAUUUUCCCCCUGUCUGGCACCAUCUUUUUUUUUUUUAAUACUUUAAGUUUUAGGGUACAUGUGCACAAUCUGCAGGUUAGUUACAUAUGUAUACAUGUGCCAUGCUGGUGCGCU
rnacentral:lncRNA from 10 species